UUGAUCUGUACAACCCUCAAAGUACUCUGCAAAGUGAUUCUGAACAGGAUCCAGGAGAAAAUAGACGCUACACUCCGACGGCAACAAGCUGGAUUCCGAUCCGGACGAUCAUGUGUGGACCACAUCACAACGCUACGAAUCAUACUGGAACAAAUCAACGAAUUCCAGGACUCUCUUCUGCUGGUGUUCGUUGAUUUCGAAAAAGCAUUCGACCGACUUAACCAUGAAAACAUCUGGGCGGCUCUAAGGCGACGAGGGGUCCCAGAGAAACUAGUCCAUCUCAUCGAAGCACAGUAUGAGGCAUUUUCGUGCAAGGUCUUGCACGACGGUGUCUUGUCCGAACCAAUCCCGGUAACUGCUGGAGUGAGACAAGGAUGUAUUCUAUCACCGCUACUUUUUCUUAUCGUAAUGGAUGAGAUUCUGAUUGGAUCGAUUGACUGUGCACCGAACCGAGGAUUGCCGUGGAAUCCUUCAACAAUGGAGCAACUGAACGACCUUGACCUGGCUGACGAUAUUGUUUUGCUCGCUCAAACACAACCAGAUAUGCAGAGCAAACUCGACGACCUCACCGAAAGUUCCAAGGCAGCAGGUCUCAAAGUCAAUGUCGGAAAGACCAAGUCGAUGGAGAUCAACACAGGAAAUCCCUCCAGUUUCAUGGUAGCUGGGCAACAAGUUGAGAAAGUGGAGUGCUUCCAGUAUCUUGGUAGCCAGAUUACGCCUGAUGGUGGUACCAGAAAAGACAUCGAAACACGGAUCAGAAAGGCCCGAUUUGCGUUUGCGACUCUCCGAAACAUCUGGCGGUCACGCCAGAUCUCUCUACGAACAAAAAUCCGAAUCUUCAACUCAAACGUCAAAUCCGUAUUGCUGUACGGGUGCGAAACUUGGUGCACAUAUGCGGUAACGACGCGAAAACUGCAAGUAUUUGUAAACCGCUGCCUGCGGAAUAUCAUCCGCGCUUGGUGGCCUGGCAACUGGAUCUCGAAUGAGGAACUACAUCGCCGGUGUCAUCAAAAGGCGCUGGAAAUCGAGAUUCGGGAACGUAAGUGGAGAUGGAUUGGGCACACGCUGCGAAGAGAUGAAAACGAGAUUUGCAGAGAGGCGCUAGAUUGGAAUCCAGAAGGUCAUCGAAGAAGAGGCAGACCCAGAAAUUCGUGGCGGCGAAGCCUAGCCGCUGAAAUCCGAACUGUCGACGAGAAUCUUGACUGGGACCAGGUGAAGACGCUGGCUCCGGAUCGUCAACAGUGGAGGUCUUUUACCACGGCCCUAUGCACCGGAGGAUCGGCGCGGGAUCAUUAAGUAAGUAAGUCUGUACAUGAAAAUUACCUUUCGAAUUGUUUUUGGUCAACUUGGAUCUGAACGGAAUGUUCGAUUUAGACUUUAGCGUUGCAAAAAGAAUUGACACAUAUCAAUUCUGUAGCUAUCCCAUCAAUUGUAUAGAAAAUGGCUGCUUCCUGAGAAUGUCCGAUUGUGACUGCGUCCUGUAGAUAAAAAUUACCAUCCGAAAUGUUUUUGGCCAAAUUGGAUCUGAACAGAAUGUUCGAUUAAGACUUAACUUUGCAAAAAGGAUUGAUACAAAUCAGUUCUGUAGCUCUUCUGCAAUUGUAUAGAAAAUGGAUGAGUCCUAACACUGUCUGAUUCUUCCUAAACCUUCAAAUUUGACAAUUAUUUCAAAAUUCCGAUUGCGGCGGCGUCUGGUACAUGAAAAUUACCAUCCGAUAUGCUUUUGGUCAGCUUGGAUUCAAACGGAAUGUUGGAUUUAAAGCUCAACGUUGUUGAAAGAAUUGAUAUAAAUCAAUACUGUAGCUCCCCUUUAAUUGUAUAGAAAAUGGCUGGGUCCUGUACAUGUCUGCUCCUUCCAAAAGCGUCAUACUUAUCAGUUUUUUCCAAAUCUCUGUUGUGGCUGCGUCCUGUACAUGAAAAUUGCCAUCCGAAAUGUUUUUGGUCAACUUGGAUCUGAACGGAAUGUUCGAUUUAGACCUUAACGUUGCCAAAAGAAUGGAUAUAAAUCAAAACUGUAGCUCUCCCUCAAUUGUAUGGAAAAUGGCUGCGUCCUGAUAAUGAGUGGAAUGAAAAAAACUUAGUAAUUGCUUUUGCUAAACUAAAUCGAGCAGUCGCUUAAAGCAAUUGCUUCGGUUGUUAUGAAUAAAGUUUUUCUUGACAACUGUUUUCUCUGUCAGGAGCUUUUACUUUUAGAACAAGCUAGCUUGGUAUGAAAAAAGCUCAAAUCUUAAGCAAUUGCUCGACAAACCUCAUAGCAAUUGCUUUAUUUUCUAAGCAUGCUCGGUAGCAGACUUUAAUAAAAAAUCUUGAAUAACGUCAUGAAAUUAUCAAAUUAGCAAUAUUUCACUUCGAAACAAUUCAAAAAGGUAUUUUCAACAUGGAUAAAGAAAAGUCGAAGUGAUAACCCAACUUUUUUCAUACUCCUGUCGUUGUAUAAAAUCAUUCGUCUAAGAUGAAAAUAAACAAAUGAAUUAGUAAAUAUUUCAAAUUAAAAAAAAUCCGGCUAUAGUGGAAGAAGUCUCAAUUGGCUCAAAGUAAGAUAUAAAUUGUAAUAAUGAUUUUAGUUUAAUGAUUAAUGGCAUUUCGGUGAAUUAUACAUUCUAAUAGGAAGAAUUUCAAAUGAAAGUAAUGAAAAUUAUAGACGGAUAGAUUAGAUUAGGAAGCAUGAAAGGUGUUGAAAAUGAGCCAAGAGCGUGAUUUGAGAAAACUUCUUGCCGCACAAGACCAUUUGUCCCACAUCGUAUUAUUGUCUAGAAGAAGCAAAGUCGAUAGGCUGACUUUGCAUUGAUCUAUACAAUGAUACAUGGAUGGAUCGAAGCACGUGUUUUUCGUACUCCGAUCGGAACUAAUCCGUUAAGCAAAUGUUUAUUCAUACCAAACUAAGCAAAUGCUUUGGACUUUUGUUUUGAUUGAUUUCGAGCAAAGUAAAAGCUACCGAAGCAAUUGCUAAACCUUAUUCAUACCACUAAAUGUUUGCUUUUUCCAAAAGCGUCGGAUUUGUCAAUUAUUUUAAAAUUCCGAUUGUGGCUGCGUCCUGUAGAUGAAAAUUACCCUCCGAAAUGUUUUUGAUCAACUUGGAUCUAAACAGAAUAAUCGAAUAAGAGCUCAUUGUUGCCAAAAGAAUUAAUACAAAUCAAUUCUGUAGCUCUCCCUAAAUUCUUUAGAAAAUGGCUGCGUACUGACAAUGUCUGCUUCUUCCAAAAGCGUCAAAUUAGUCAACUAUUUCAAAAAGUUCGAUUUUGGCUGCGUCCUUUAGAAGAAAAUUGCCAUCCGAUAUGUUUUUGGUCAAAUUGGAUCUUAACAGAAUGUUUGAUUUAAAUCUCAUUGUUGCCAAAACAAUUGAUACACAUUAUUUCUGUAGCUCGCCUCCAAUUGCAUUGAAAAUGGCUGCACCCUGACAAUGUCUGCUCCUUCCAAAAGCGUCAAAUUUGUCAACUAUUUCAAAAAUCCGAAUGUGGCUGGGUCCUAUAGAUGAAAAUUGGCGUCCGAAAUGUAAUAAAUUAUCAUGGAUCGGAUCAGAAAAAUUCGAUUUAUAGUUCAUUGUUGCCAAAAGAAUUGAUAUAAAUUAAUUCUGCAGCUCUUAUUUAAUUGUAUAGCAAAUUGCUUCCUCCUAACAAUGUCUGCUCCUUCCAAAACCGUAAAAUUUGUCAAUUAUUUCAAAAUUCGGAUUGUAGCUGCGUUCUGUAGAUGGAAGUUACCAUCCGAAAUGUGUUUGGUCAUCAUGAAUCUGAACAGAAUAAUCGAUUUAGAGCUCAUUGUUGUCAGAAGAAUCGAUACAAAUUGAUUCUGUAGCUCUCCCUCGAUUGUAUUUAAAAUGGCUGCGUCCUGACAAUGUCUGCUUCGUCCAAAUGCGUUAAACUUGUCAGUAUUUUUCUAAAUUCCGAUUGUGGCUGCCAUCCGAAUUGUUUGGUCGGCUUGGAUCUGAACGGAAUGUUCGAUUUAGACCUCAUUGUUGCUAACAGAAUUGAUAUAAUCCAAUAGUGUUGCUCUCCCCGUCUGCUCCUUCUAAAAAGCGUCGCGUUUGUCAAUUAUUUCAAAAUUUCGGUUGUGGCUGGGUUCUAUACAUUAAAAUUGCCAUCCGAAAUGUUUUUGGUCAACUUGGAUCUGAACAGAAUGUUCGAUUUAGAGCUCGCUGUUGCCAAAAGGAUUGAUACAAAUUCAUUCUGUAGCUCUCCCUCAAUUGUAUAGAAAAUGGCUGCGUCCUGACAAUGUCUGCCCCUUCCAAAAGCGUCAAAUUAGUCAAUUAUUACAAUAUUCCGAUUGGGGCUGCAUCCUGUAGAUGAAAAUUACAAUCCCAAAUGUUUUUGGUCAUCAUGGAUCUAAACAGAAUAAUCGAUUCUCAAUGAGCAAACAAUGUGCUCUAAGCUCAUUGUUGCCAAUAGCAUUGAUACAAAUUGAUUCUGUAAAUCUCCCUCAAUUGUUUAGAAAAUGGCUGCGUCCUGACAAUGUCUGCUUCGUCCAAAAGCGUUAAAUUUGUCAGUAUUUUUCUGAAUUCCGAUUGUGGCUUCGUCCUGUAGAUGAAAAUUGCCUUCCAAAAUGUGUUUGGUCAUCAUGAAUCUGAACAGAAUAAUCGAUUUAGAGCUCAUUGUUGCCAGAAGAAUCGAUACAAAUUGAUUCUGUAGCUCUCCCUCGAUUGUAUUUAAAAUGGCUGCGUCCUGACAAUGUCUGCUUCGUCCAAAUGCGUUAAACUUGUCAGUAUUUUUCUAAAUUCCGAUUGUGGCUGCCAUCCGAAUUGUUUGGUCGGCUUGGAUCUGAACGGAAUGUUCGAUUUAGACCUCAUUGUUGCUAACAGAAUUGAUAUAAUCCAAUAGUGUUGCUCUCCCCGUCUGCUCCUUCUAAAAAGCGUCGCGUUUGUCAAUUAUUUCAAAAUUUCGGUUGUGGCUGGGUUCUAUACAUUAAAAUUGCCAUCCGAAAUGUUUUUGGUCAACUUGGAUCUGAACAGAAUAAUCGAUUUAGAGCUCAUUGUUGCCAAAAUAAUUUAUACAAAUUGUUGCUGUAGCCUUUCAUCAAUUGUAUAGAAAAUAGCUGCGUCCUUACAAUUUCUGCUUCGUCCAAAAGCGUUAAAUUUGUCAUUUUUUUUUCUUAAUUCCGAUUGUGGCUGGGUCCUGUAGAUGAAAAUUACCAUCCCACAUGUUUUUGGUCAACUUGGAUCUGAACGGAAUUUCGAUUUAGACUUUAGCAAAUUAAUUCUGUAGCUACCCUGUCAGGAAGGUUUGCUCAAUCGGGCCGAUUACAAAACAGAGAUGCCAGCACUCGAAUUCUAGCGGUUAGAAUUCGAUCUAUUAUCGGCUCGAUUUCCAUCCGCCUGCUCGAUUGCUCGAAAACCGACGAUAUUUUUUGCAGUGCUGCUAUGAACAAAACGAAACACGAGCAGUUUUCAAUUGCAGCAAUCUGGGCGCGUGUUUCGUUUUGGUGCGUGAUUGUUGUGUUGUGAAUGUUUCCGCUGUUUUUGUUCAGAAACAUUUUGAGCGCUGUAGUAAAAAAAACCAUUGUCCGGCGAUAAUUUAAUAAUAAGCAAGGUAUGUUAAGAUUGAUUGAAUUCUAAACAAUCAAGUUUUAUUUACAUAUAUAAUUUUCUAACCCAUUAUCGUCCCCACAGUAAACAUCGGCUCAUGCAAACAAAGCUUCCAAGGAAAUGUCCCGUGGGUAAAAGCUUUGGUGGAAUUUCAUCCGGACCCACUCAGAGGUGGUCGCUUCACUUGGAUGACUUUUAAUUAGUUUUUGGCGUGAUACUUAAAAGUGGAAAGCAAGGUAAGUACCGAUGUAAAAAAAAAUAUCUUUUUCAAGAUUAAAAUUUUAAUUCUUGUUGAUCCAAUCUAGAUUCGAAUUUUGAAAAUGUUUGAUUGAUUGCAUUUGAAUAUCCUCUGAACCGAUCAUUUUCAUCGGUUAAGGUCGCGGUACACCUCAGGUGAAAAUGAAAAAUCUUAUUUUGUCAAAAACUCAAAAAAGUGACACAUAUUGGCUUAGUAACAUGGUGGAAUCGUUGGGGAAUAGUUAAAAGCUGAAUUUCGAACCGGUCUCAGAGUUCCCCAGCAACACCCAGGCCAGCAUGCAAAAGUAAAAUUAUUUGAAUUUCUAUGUUCAGCGGUUUUUUUUUCAAAUAGAUCAAAUGAAGUUAUAUUUUCCGAUCGUAAAAUUUUACCAUAAAAAUAAUUAAUGAUUUUGCCUUCUCAGAUCUCUUGCGCUUGCAGUUCCAUGAUGUUAACGUAUGAAGUCGUAUGGGGUAUAUGGUCGACUUUGCCGGUCCAUCAUUUUAAUGCAAAAAAAAACGCGCACAACAGAAGAAGAGAAAAUCAAACAUAAAACUGGCCCCGUUUCCGUUUGUGAAGCUGUUUUCAUUAGUGGUUGCACUAAGCAAUAGCUAAUGCCUUCUUCAGCAGUCUCGCCAAACUGGAAAAGCGGUGAACUUGACGGUAAUCCCGGUGGAUUAGAACAAAGUCUUCGUGAAUCCUCCACUUCCAGCCGACAUAAUGGGAAGUUCAACACCGUCACUCAACUAUUAGCUUAAAAGCAGCAAAAACUGUUGGUGUCAGCAGCAACUGCAACAGCAGUAUCAGCAUCGGUUUUUCACCUGCUGCGUCGUCGAAACCUUCGGUGGCCGGAUCCAAUUUCGGGUCGACUAUGCGAGACCGCGCCCCCACAAUCUGCAACAAUAGGCUGUGCUAAAUCCUAAGUUCAGACAAUAGGUACAAACAGUCUUACUCCCGUUCGAUGUGAUCAUAGAAUGAAAGCUACAGAUUUAGAGGAAUACUAGAGCUGAGAACGAGUUGCUGCGUAUGAGGACGAUAACAGCUAUUUUUUUUAGUGAAGUGCAGCAGUUGUAAUUGGAUCCACUAGAUGCAACAUAAUAAAAGGGGCGCUAAGACGGACGAAUGCUGUGGUCCUGUGUGUAUUCAUUGUAUACCGUGGAUUCCUCGCAAUGCAUGUGAAGACGUUUUAGCCUCAGGAGAUUGCCAUCGAUGCCAGUAUCAAUCUGCAGGAUAAUUGCACAUAAAAAGAAUCGUCCGUUCAACAUGACUUUUUUUUAACUCAUCGCUUUUGGGAUUUCUACAAACAGCUAAAUCGGACGAUGUCGAUUCGAUGAUGGACGUAAAAGAGCGAAAGGUUACUUAUAAUGGUUUACCGAACUCUUUGACUCCGAAGUUUGUCCCAACCAAGCAGCUGUUGCUGAUGACUAUGAGUUCGAUUACGUAGCUUUGUAGAGAUUAGCUAAAGGAAUUCUAGUAAUUUGAUGACAGCUCCAGAUGAUGUUGAAGUAAAUAAAUAACGAUUUUCCACUUUCACUGACGAGUUGUUACCUUGUCGCGAUAGCGAUGCCACAGACACGGUCAGUGAAUGCAUUCGUCGAGAAAGUGGGUGAAACUAUAUUUGGGCCCAGUCAUAGCUUCCCUACCGAUCACCCACCGUACAAUUAAUAGCUCUGGUAUGGAUGUCCUUCACGUGCCUACAUCGUAGCCUCCACCGCUUGGUCGGUCCAGUGAAAAAGAUGCAUGCACUAUACUUUUGUCGGAAGAUGAAUCCCUCAAAAAGCGUUUUGGCAGAAAAAAACUAAACCCACAUUUCGAUUCGAUCACCCGGGAGUUUUUUUAGUUGCCAUAAGCAAUGAUACUAAUCUGCAGAAUGAUUCUGGUAGCCAUUUUUAUAGCCGUAACUUUUAACAUGCAACGUCAAAGAUGUAAAUGCGAGGAAAAUACAUUAAGAAAAAUUCAAUAAAAUAAAUUUGAAGAUGAUUUACCGUGAUUUACCAUCGAAAUAAACCUCCGGUGGUACAGAACAAGGUCAUCAACAAAAAAGCCCAGUAGCAACAGCAACAGAAGCAUCAAAGCUAGCCCAAAACUUUGAUUACGGAGGUGUUGAAAAACUAGUAUCUUGUCAACCAAUUUCGUAAAUUGAGUCUACCUUUUCGAAAAUUUCGGAGGGUACGAAACCGCAGCUAGACCAAGUAUAUCAACUACUUCAAUCAAUAUUCCUCCGUAUUUUCUCGGAUAAUGAUGAAGUUGUGAAAAAAUCGGGAUCUCAACCUACUAGGAAAACAAGUUCGACUGCUACCACUGCAUGUGCUAUAACAACAAUUGGUGCACCAACGUUCAGCUCCGGAACGAUGACUGGUAAUUUGAGUGAUUCUAUUUAAGAUCAGUAUUGGUCAGUGAGAUCAUCGAAAGGAAUUUUAUUGAACAAGUUUUUUUUAAUGUUAUUUUCAGUCAACAGAAAAAAAUUUUACGGGCAACGUUCGGCUGCAUCAAUUCGAUGGGUUCCAGAUUGAAAAGCGGGACAAGUAUUCACAUGAGAUGAAACUGCCAAUAUAAACGUACCAACCAAAUCAUUAAAAUCGUCGAGUGUUUCAACAGCAUCAGACAAACAGAUACCGCGGCCUGCCUAACCUACACUAUGAAGCACACAAGAAAAAAGUUCGACCUAAAUUCCUUGGCUGUGUACUCUGAAGGUAGUUAUGAUAAGUAAUGGAAGAGAAAGAGAAAUUGACGAACCAUCAGAUCUUACUAUUGCUAGAAUAGAAAUCAGGACAUUGAUGCCUGUCAAUAUUAAUAUUGUUCAAUAUUGACGCCAAUAAUGUGUUCUCACAAUUUGUCAUUAUAAUGUUUGUUAAUAUUUAAUAGACAUCUCAUACAAAAUAUGAAAAACAAAUAGAAAAAUCCAUUAAUUUGAGAAAAUUAGGUAAAGUCGGAGUGCUAUCGAUUUGGCCGACGAAGAAUCGAAUAAAGAGAAAUUCUGGUGCUCCUUUUUACGUGAAGACUUUUUUGAAACGUUUUUGUUAACAUUUUUAUCUUUAUUUUUAAUCUUUCAGAUUCUAUCGAAAUAUUCACAAACUGCUCUUCGAAGGCCCCAUUCUAAAAGAACUCUAGGUAGAUUGUAUGGAAUAUAUAUUUUUUACCACUCCCAACAAUGAAUAGAGCAAAUUAAUUUAAAAAAAAGGAAACCCAGUAGCGCCACGACCAAUGAAGAGCCGUCAUCUGGUGCUGGAAACGGUUCCGACGCAGUCAUUCCCUCAGUGGUUGCAUCAACAAUUUCCGUUCCGAAGGCCACCACCAUUCCUUCCAUCCCACCAGGAAUGUUCGCCCAACACAUCGUAUCAGCCGCUGCUUAUACCUCUUCUUGUGCCAUUACCGAUUAAGAAGCGGAAGAUGGUGACGACGAUUAUGCAUCGUUUCCAGCGAAUAUGAUCUUCGGUCAGUCAAAAUGGGCGAUGAAGAUUAGAAUCAGGUGUUCUGUGGCCGUUCAAAGUUGUUCAGGACGACAAACAGUUUAAGAGGCCUCGGCGAGUUGAAAUUUUGUGUAGCAAAACUGAUCCAAGCAAAUUUCGAAUUGUCAUGCGAGGCGAACAGAUGCACAAAAUUGCUGCCAACCAUUCGAUUGAAUAAGCUUGCGCCAAACAUCGCAAUGUUUUAUAGUCGAAGAGGCAGCAAACGAAUGUAUUAGAAGAACAAAAACUAAAAAAUAAACUAAUGAAAUAAAAAUCUAGCUUUUUGUAACAAAACCGAAAAACCUAAAUGAAUGGCAACAAUGCUAAUUGGCCCAGAAACGGUUCGAAAAACCGUUCUGUUUCGGUCCGAAAUCGGUCCUUUUUUACAGAUGGAUGCUAUGGCAAUCGGCCCAGAAUCGGUUCGAAAAAUCGUUCGGAUUCGGUCCGAAAUCGGUUCUUUUUUUCGGAUAGAGGCUAUGGCAAUCGACCCAGAAUCGGUUCGAAAAUUCGUUCGGUUUCGGUCCGAUAUCGGUCCUUUUUUCGGAUGGACGCUAUGGCAAUCGGCCCAGAAACGGUUCGAAAACCAUUAGGUUUCGGUCCGAAAACGGUUCGCUUGUUUUGACAUUUGAUCUGCUCGAACUGGUUGAAAAAACUUAUCGUCGUCCGAAAAAGUGUUUCAUUUUCGCACGAUUUUCUACUAAACUCGGCCCGAUUUCUUAUACGAUUUCGGACCGAUCGAGCAGAUGAA